rnacentral:lncRNA from 1 species
AGAGGAUGCAUGUGUGCGUGUGACUGCUUCUUUGUGCAAUCUUAGUGUCUGCCAUCUGUUAACCAGCUGUAAUUUCAAGAGGGGGACAUGGGAGGGAAUCAAGUAUAAUGCAAUAAGUAAUAAGGUGCUGGGGAUGCGAUGGCCAUAAAAACUGACAUGCUUCCACAGAGCUUGCAGCCCAGUGGAAAGAGAAAAGAGAGGGACAACAAUGGAAUCCUUGUCUUUCCAAUCUUAUAAAGAAUAUGGAAAUCCCUCACGUCUUACAUGGGAGCUCUUCAGAUUCCAAGAUUCCAUCACUCCUCAACACUUCUCCUGCCUCUCUCACCUGGAUGAUUGCAUUACCCUCCCAACUAGUUCCGCCAACCCCCCACCCGACCCCACUGCUUCUUCCCCCUACAGUUCAUUCUUAGCCAAACAGAUUCUUUUAAAACUAAGCCAAGUUGUGUUACCACAGUGCUCAAAACUCUCCAGGUUACCCAGAAAAUCAAAACCACAAGGAGAUACAACUUCACACUCACUGGGAUGGCUAUAAUCGAAAAGACAGAUAAUAACACAUGUUGGUCAGGAUGCGAUGAAAUUGGGACCCUCAUACACUGCUGGUGGGAACGUAAAAUGGUGCAGCUGUUUUGAAAAAUAAUCUGGCAGUUUCUCCAAUGGUUAAACAUUUCUAUUCCUCACCUAAGAGAGGAAUUUCUGGCUAGUUGACUUGAUAUCCCCCAGGUAGCUUUCCUACAAUAACCCUGUGGGGGCUUGACUCAACACUUCUACUCCUAAGUGAGAAACAGAAAUGAAAACAUAUUUCCUCACCAAAACUUGUACCUGAAUGUUCAUAGGAGUAUUAUUCAUAAUUGCUACAAAGUGGAAACAACCCAAAUACCUAUUAACCGAUGAAUAAAUUAAAAAUGGUAUAUACAGUGGAAUAUUAGCCAGUAAUGAAAAGAAAUGCAGUAUUAAUACAUGCUACAACACUGCUGAAUCUGAAAACACAGCCCAAAAGAAGCCAGUCACCAAAAAUCACAUUUUAUGUGAGUCCAUUUAUACGAAAUGUCCAGAAUAGGCAAAUCCAUAGAGAAAGAAGGCAGAUUAAUAGAUGUCUAGCACAGAGGGACUUGAGGGUAAGUGGGGAAUGGCUGUGGAAUUUCUCGUUGGGGUGAUGAACAUAUUCUAAAAUUGAUUGUUGUGAU